GACGAACGCUGGCGGCGUGCUUAACACAUGCAAGUCGAACGGAAAGGCCCUGCUUUUGUGGGGUGCUCGAGUGGCGAACGGGUGAGUAACACGUGAGUAACCUGCCCUUGACUUUGGGAUAACUUCAGGAAACUGGGGCUAAUACCGGAUAGGAGCUCCUGCUGCAUGGUGGGGGUUGGAAAGUUUCGGCGGUUGGGGAUGGACUCGCGGCUUAUCAGCUUGUUGGUGGGGUAGUGGCUUACCAAGGCUUUGACGGGUAGCCGGCCUGAGAGGGUGACCGGCCACAUUGGGACUGAGAUACGGCCCAGACGCCUACGGGAGGCAGCAGGGGGGAAUAUUGCACAAUGGGCGGAAGCCUGAUGCAGCAACGCCGCGUGCGGGAUGACGGCCUUCGGGUGGUAAACCGCUUUCGCCUGUGACGAAGCGUGAGUGACGGUAAUGGGUAAAGAAGCACCGGCUAACUACGUG
rnacentral:rRNA from 1 species